rnacentral:rRNA from 1 species
UACGUAGGGUGCGAGCGUUAAUCGGAAUUACUGGGCGUAAAGCGUGCGCAGGCGGCUUUGCAAGACAGAUGUGAAAUCCCCGGGCUCAACCUGGGAACUGCAUUUGUGACUGCAAGGCUAGAGUACGGUAGAGGGGGGAUGGAAUUCCGGGUGUAGCGGUGAAAUGCGUAGAUAUCCGGAGGAACACCGGUGGCGAAGGCGGCUUCCUGGACAACUCCUGACACUGAGGCACGAAAGCUAGGGGAGCAAACAGG